UUAAGCGACUAAGCGUACACGGUGGAUGCCCUGGCAGUCAGAGGCGAUGAAGGACGUGCUAAUCUGCGAUAAGCGUCGGUAAGGUGAUAUGAACCGUUAUAACCGGCGAUUUCCGAAUGGGGAAACCCAGUGUGUUUCGACACACUAUCAUUAACUGAAUCCAUAGGUUAAUGAGGCGAACCGGGGGAACUGAAACAUCUAAGUACCCCGAGGAAAAGAAAUCAACCGAGAUUCCCCCAGUAGCGGCGAGCGAACGGGGAGGAGCCCAGAGCCUGAAUCAGUGUGUGUGUUAGUGGAAGCGUCUGGAAAGGCGCGCGAUACAGGGUGACAGCCCCGUACACAAAAAUGCACAUGCUGUGAGCUCGAUGAGUAGGGCGGGACACGUGGUAUCCUGUCUGAAUAUGGGGGGACCAUCCUCCAAGGCUAAAUACUCCUGACUGACCGAUAGUGAACCAGUACCGUGAGGGAAAGGCGAAAAGAACCCCGGCGAGGGGAGUGAAAAAGAACCUGAAACCGUGUACGUACAAGCAGUGGGAGCACAGAGCAAUCUGUGUGACUGCGUACCUUUUGUAUAAUGGGUCAGCGACUUAUAUUCUGUAGCAAGGUUAACCGAAUAGGGGAGCCGAAGGGAAACCGAGUCUUAACUGGGCGUUAAGUUGCAGGGUAUAGACCCGAAACCCGGUGAUCUAGCCAUGGGCAGGUUGAAGGUUGGGUAACACUAACUGGAGGACCGAACCGACUAAUGUUGAAAAAUUAGCGGAUGACUUGUGGCUGGGGGUGAAAGGCCAAUCAAACCGGGAGAUAGCUGGUUCUCCCCGAAAGCUAUUUAGGUAGCGCCUCGUGAAUUCAUCUCCGGGGGUAGAGCACUGUUUCGGCAAGGGGGUCAUCCCGACUUACCAACCCGAUGCAAACUGCGAAUACCGGAGAAUGUUAUCACGGGAGACACACGGCGGGUGCUAACGUCCGUCGUGAAGAGGGAAACAACCCAGACCGCCAGCUAAGGUCCCAAAGUCAUGGUUAAGUGGGAAACGAUGUGGGAAGGCCCAGACAGCCAGGAUGUUGGCUUAGAAGCAGCCAUCAUUUAAAGAAAGCGUAAUAGCUCACUGGUCGAGUCGGCCUGCGCGGAAGAUGUAACGGGGCUAAACCAUGCACCGAAGCUGCGGCAGCGACGCUUAUGCGUUGUUGGGUAGGGGAGCGUUCUGUAAGCCUGUGAAGGUGUACUGUGAGGUAUGCUGGAGGUAUCAGAAGUGCGAAUGCUGACAUAAGUAACGAUAAAGCGGGUGAAAAGCCCGCUCGCCGGAAGACCAAGGGUUCCUGUCCAACGUUAAUCGGGGCAGGGUGAGUCGACCCCUAAGGCGAGGCCGAAAGGCGUAGUCGAUGGGAAACAGGUUAAUAUUCCUGUACUUGGUGUUACUGCGAAGGGGGGACGGAGAAGGCUAUGUUGGCCGGGCGACGGUUGUCCCGGUUUAAGCGUGUAGGCUGGUUUUCCAGGCAAAUCCGGAAAAUCAAGGCUGAGGCGUGAUGACGAGGCACUACGGUGCUGAAGCAACAAAUGCCCUGCUUCCAGGAAAAGCCUCUAAGCAUCAGGUAACAUCAAAUCGUACCCCAAACCGACACAGGUGGUCAGGUAGAGAAUACCAAGGCGCUUGAGAGAACUCGGGUGAAGGAACUAGGCAAAAUGGUGCCGUAACUUCGGGAGAAGGCACGCUGAUAUGUAGGUGAAGUCCCUCGCGGAUGGAGCUGAAAUCAGUCGAAGAUACCAGCUGGCUGCAACUGUUUAUUAAAAACACAGCACUGUGCAAACACGAAAGUGGACGUAUACGGUGUGACGCCUGCCCGGUGCCGGAAGGUUAAUUGAUGGGGUUAGCGCAAGCGAAGCUCUUGAUCGAAGCCCCGGUAAACGGCGGCCGUAACUAUAACGGUCCUAAGGUAGCGAAAUUCCUUGUCGGGUAAGUUCCGACCUGCACGAAUGGCGUAAUGAUGGCCAGGCUGUCUCCACCCGAGACUCAGUGAAAUUGAACUCGCUGUGAAGAUGCAGUGUACCCGCGGCAAGACGGAAAGACCCCGUGAACCUUUACUAUAGCUUGACACUGAACAUUGAGCCUUGAUGUGUAGGAUAGGUGGGAGGCUUUGAAGUGUGGACGCCAGUCUGCAUGGAGCCGACCUUGAAAUACCACCCUUUAAUGUUUGAUGUUCUAACGUUGACCCGUGAUCCGGGUUGCGGACAGUGUCUGGUGGGUAGUUUGACUGGGGCGGUCUCCUCCUAAAGAGUAACGGAGGAGCACGAAGGUUGGCUAAUCCUGGUCGGACAUCAGGAGGUUAGUGCAAUGGCAUAAGCCAGCUUGACUGCGAGCGUGACGGCGCGAGCAGGUGCGAAAGCAGGUCAUAGUGAUCCGGUGGUUCUGAAUGGAAGGGCCAUCGCUCAACGGAUAAAAGGUACUCCGGGGAUAACAGGCUGAUACCGCCCAAGAGUUCAUAUCGACGGCGGUGUUUGGCACCUCGAUGUCGGCUCAUCACAUCCUGGGGCUGAAGUAGGUCCCAAGGGUAUGGCUGUUCGCCAUUUAAAGUGGUACGCGAGCUGGGUUUAGAACGUCGUGAGACAGUUCGGUCCCUAUCUGCCGUGGGCGCUGGAGAACUGAGGGGGGCUGCUCCUAGUACGAGAGGACCGGAGUGGACGCAUCACUGGUGUUCGGGUUGUCAUGCCAAUGGCACUGCCCGGUAGCUAAAUGCGGAAGAGAUAAGUGCUGAAAGCAUCUAAGCACGAAACUUGCCCCGAGAUGAGUUCUCCCUGACCCUUUAAGGGUCCUGAAGGAACGUUGAAGACGACGACGUUGAUAGGCCGGGUGUGUAAGCGCAGCGAUGCGUUGAGCUAACCGGUACUAAUGAACCGUGAGGCUUAACCUU
rnacentral:rRNA from 1 species